rnacentral:tRNA from 2 species
GGACGAUUAGCUCAGUUGGUUAGAGCAUCUCGUUUACACCGAGAGGGUCGGGGGUUCGAAUCCCUCAUCGUCCACCA